AAAAUAGUCCAAAAACAUAAACUCAUUCUUCCUAUCAUUUUUUAAGUAAUCCAUAUAGGAUUGCAAAUGAAUAAUUUCCAUUUUCAUUUUCAUUUCCAAAUGAUUUCAUUUCUCCAUUUCAGAGAAAACCAUAAUCACUCCUGAAUGUUUCUCAUUUCUCUUUUCAUAUUCAUUUUGUUCAUUUCUAUUUAAACACGUAAUUCAUUUCUAGUUAAAUACAUAUAAACACAACAGGCCCGUUC
rnacentral:lncRNA from 1 species